rnacentral:rRNA from 1 species
UACGUAGGGUGCAAGCGUUAAUCGGAAUUACUGGGCGUAAAGCGUGCGCAGGCGGUUGUGCAAGACCGAUGUGAAAGCCCCGGGCUUAACCUGGGAACGGCAUUGGUGACUGCACGGCUAGAGUGUGUCAGAGGGGGGUAGAAUUCCACGUGUAGCAGUGAAAUGCGUAGAGAUCGGGAGGAACAUCAGUUGCGAAGGCGGCUCUCUGGACCAGCACUGACACUGAGGCACGAAAGCGUGGGGAGCAAACAGG